rnacentral:rRNA from 1 species
GGCAACGGCCAUACCACGUUGAAAGCAUCGGUUCUCGUCCGAUCACAGAAGUUAAUCAACGUUGGGCGCGGUCAGUACUUGGAUGGGUGACCGCUUGGGAACACCGCGUGCCGUUGGCA